UACGUAGGGUCCGAGCGUUGUCCGGAAUUAUUGGGCAUAAAGAGCUCGUAGGCGGUUUGUCGCGUCUGCUGUGAAAUCCCGAGGCUCAACCUCGGGCCUGCAGUGGGUACGGGCAGACUGGAGUGCGGUAGGGGAGAAUGGAAUUCCUGGUGUAGCGGUGGAAUGCGCAGAUAUCAGGAGGAACACCGAUGGCGAAGGCAGUUCUCUGGGCCGUAACUGACGCUGAGGAGCGAAAGCGUGGGGAGCGAACAGG
rnacentral:rRNA from 1 species